rnacentral:rRNA from 1 species
AACGAACGCUGGCGGCAUGCCUAACACAUGCAAGUCGAACGAGACCUUCGGGUCUAGUGGCGCACGGGUGCGUAACGCGUGGGAACCUGCCCUUAGGUUCGGAAUAACUCCCCGAAAGGGGUGCUAAUACCGGAUAAUGUCUUCGGACCAAAGAUUUAUCGCCUUUGGAUGGGCCCGCGUUGGAUUAGCUAGUUGGUAGGGUAAAAGCCUACCAAGGCGACGAUCCAUAGCUGGUCUGAGAGGAUGAUCAGCCACACUGGGACUGGGACACGGCCCAGACUCCUACGGGAGGCAGGAGUGGGGAAUAUUGGACCAUGGGCGAAAGGCUGAUCCCGCCAUGCCGCGUGAGGGAUGAAGGCCUUAGGGUUGUAAAGCUCUUUUAACCGGGAUGAUAAUGACAGUACCGGGAGAAUAAGCUCCGGCUAACUCCGUG